rnacentral:rRNA from 1 species
GUGGGGAAUAUUGGACAAUGGGCGAAAGCCUGAUCCAGCCAUGCCGCGUGUGUGAAGAAGGUCUUCGGAUUGUAAAGCACUUUAAGUUGGGAGGAAGGGCAGUAAGUUAAUACCUUGCUGUUUUGACGUUACCGACAGAAUAAGCACCGGCUAACUUCGUGCCAGCAGCCGCGGUAAUACGAAGGGUGCAAGCGUUAAUCGGAAUUACUGGGCGUAAAGCGCGCGUAGGUGGUUUUGUAAGUUGGAGGUGAAAUCCCCGGGCUCAACCUGGGAACUGCCUCCAAAACUGGAUGACUAGAGUACGGUAGAGGGUAGUGGAAUUUCCUGUGUAGCGGUGAAAUGCGUAGAUAUAGGAAGGAACACCAGUGGCGAAGGCGACUACCUGGACUGAUACUGACACUGGGGUGCGAAAGCGUGGGGAGCAAACAGGAUUAGAUACCCCGGUAGUCC